GAUGAACGCUGGCGGCGUGCUUAACACAUGCAAGUCGAACGAUGAAGCCCAGCUUGCUGGGUGGAUUAGUGGCGAACGGGUGAGUAACACGUGAGUAACCUGCCCUUAACUCUGGGAUAAGCCUGGGAAACUGGGUCUAAUACCGGAUAGGAGCGUCCACCGCAUGGUGGGUGUUGGAAAGAUUUAUCGGUUUUGGAUGGACUCGCGGCCUAUCAGCUUGUUGGUGAGGUAAUGGCUCACCAAGGCGACGACGGGUAGCCGGCCUGAGAGGGUGACCGGCCACACUGGGACUGAGACACGGCCCAGACUCCUACGGGAGGCAGCAGUGGGGAAUAUUGCACAAUGGGCGCAAGCCUGAUGCAGCGACGCCGCGUGAGGGAUGACGGCCUUCGGGUUGUAAACCUCUUUCAGUAGGGAAGAAGCGAAAGUGACAGUACCUGCAGAAGAAGCACCGGCUAACUACGUG
rnacentral:rRNA from 1 species